GUUUGAUAAAAAAAUUUUAUUUCAUAAUAUAAAAAGUAAAUUUAAGUCGAUGUGGCAAUUCCAGGGGAGCAAAUUUAACUUCAAAUAACAGUUUCAACCAUCAUAGCAUACACAUUUAUGAACAUCUUUAAAACAACCUGCACCAAGAAAUUCAGGUUGAUUGAAUCUAGGAAUGCAAUAAAUACAAAGAAUCAAAGGUUGUUCUGCUAUGACAAGAGAAAUAUCAGUUCUCAUUUGGCAAUACAAGGCGAUCUUGACCUUCCACUAGCUUUGCAGAUUGGAUCACAUCCCCACUUUUUAUCUGUGAAAGGAUGUCUCUCCCAGCAGUUGUGUAUCUGCUCAGUGAAACAAUGUCAAGUAAACUAAUGAAUCUGUCAAAACAAACACUAUAAUAUGAAUGCUGACAAGAAAGUAAUCCUGUAAAGACAUACCCAAAAACUGAAAAUUGUCCUUCAUCAAAAGAUAACCCUCCUAAGCCAGCCUAAAAGAGCAGCAAUAUAUUGAAAUUUUAUCAAGAGGGGAAAUAGAAAAGAAUAAUGUCACACCAAACAUGUUGUGUGUAAUUCUGAUUUCUAAAUUUUCUUCUUGUUUUAGAGCUAAUACCAUUUUUAACGGGAACUUGGACUGCACUUACAUUUCUUUUAUCAUAGAGAUAGAAGAAAAAUUGAUAUGGUGCUGAGUACUCCUCAGAAACCUCACUGUGAGCCAUUGCAACUGCUCCGUAAACAGAUAAUGGAAGCACUGGCAACUCCCCAUCCUUCCAUAUGGCAGCCAAAGAAAAUGAAAAUUAAACAUUGGGACAUUAUGCUUUGCUAGCUACAAUUGCGACAAAUGACAAAAAACAGGAAAUGAUCCUGUACCUGUACACUUAAUGUCGUUCGGUACAAGGGCUCAAACUGCCCUGAUGGCAUUAUUUCUAGGGGAACACUGUAACCACCAUUCUUAUCAAUCCCAUUGUCAGUGAGAACAGCUUGGUUAGUGCAGCUGAGCUUAGCCCCAUUGUAUGCCCCAUCAACUACCUGAACCAUUAUCAGUUAAUAGUUUGUUGUUCUGUCAGCAGGAGUGAAGGACACAUAUAGUCCAAUAACUCUCUACAUUUCAUUUUGAACAAUUAAUUUCAGAAGAUCAAACCUUGAGUAAGCGAUCUGAAGGAAAAAAUAAAUAAAUAAACAUUGGUCAAACCACGAAGAGAGAGAAAAGAAUAAACUUCUAAUUGUUGGCAUGCCAACUCAUCAUUACUUUUCAUGGAAAACCAUGACUAGGAAGAAAUAAAGUGUAGUGGAUUGAGCAUUGGAAACAAAAAUUCCAUGAGUCUGAAGUGAGGUUCAACUACCUUACCAGUUUUGCAAAAUUCCCAGCAGUUAAUGGUGCUGAAUAUCCAUCUAUAACAACCUGAAUACAGGGGUUAAUGAUCAGUGGGUUUUAAAUAUAUAUUAAAUGAACUGGUGUCCAUUUAACCACAUACAGCUGAAGGUUAUAUGCAUCCAAUUGUUAAUAAUGCUUUACAAGUACUCAGGCAAAUUGUUUGUGCUGUAACCAAAAGUGUACUUGGGUGGAUAAUCAUGAGAGGACAAGAAAAUGCCAUACCUGAAAGCAUUAAAUGCAAAAUAACAAAUUACAAUGUCAGCCAUUCAAAAGCAGUGCAAAUGAACAUAAAUUAUAUCUAACAGCCCAAGCAACAUGCCUCCACUGGCUGGGAUUAUUGUAUAAAAUAAAGUUGUAAAGAUGUGGCUAGGCAUCAGUACAAUUGAAAGAUAAAAUGGGAAGGGAGAAGGGGACAUUUCUACAGCCCUCAAGCUCCUUAGCCUAAUUGAAUCAACCAAAAGAGAUGGUGUAGCAGUAAUAAUCAGGUUCAUGAAUUAUUCAUUAAACCGAUAAGACCUCGUUUAGCCACAAAUUCCAGGAACAACAUAAAAUCAUUUAAAUUAUGAUAGUCUCCUAAAGAAUAUUAGCCAUGGAUGGAACUGCACACUCUAAGAAAGAUUUUAAGGUCCAUCAAUUUCCUCCAGAGAACAAGAACGUUAAUCAAAUUUAAUUUCCCAGUCAGUUUAGCCAUUCAAGCAUCUUAAUUUCUUUGAAGGGAGACGGCGUGUGGGUGAUAUGAGAUACAAAAUCAAUACAUGCAAAAGCAGUAAUAACCUAAAAGCAGUAAUUAGUUAUUACAGAAAUCUAUAAAAUAUGUUUUACACCACUUGUACACUAAAUUUUCUUUAUAUUUGUUAAAAAUGCACAACACUAUUUGCUUGUCUCAUUCUAAUGGACAAUUAAAUUCAUCAAACCUGAAUUUUUGCAGUCCUUCUUUCUUCACCACCAGCUUCUGGGGAAAAUGUUGAACCAUCACCUUUCUCGAUGGUAAAUUCAACAGUUCCUCUGCCUGUAAGCCUAGUUCCCAAUUCAACAGAUGAUACAAAGAAAAGCGCACAUUUUACAGAUAUAAAUAAAAUAUGUUACAUAUAAAUCAGGCAACUCAACUGCAUAUCAGAGUAGUCAAAUAAAUGCAUUAGCUGUAACACAGCAUAAAAUUGAGUCAAAUGAAAAUCAAUCAUUAACUAUGAAACAAACAUAUACAAAGAAUAAAUUAACCAACAAAAACGUGAAGGAAAAAAUAAAUCAAUAAAGCCAUCCUAAUCACAUGUGAAAUUCAUCCAAGUUUUGUGGAACAUUCAAAAUGCAAAAGAUCUAAUCGCAAAUGCUCUGUCAGUUCAAUUAACAAAAUAAUAAAAUAAACUUCGUUUUUUUCACCUUUUUUGUUUUAUAUGCCUUGGUGUAUGAUGAAGUUCUCAAAUAGACACUCAAAAAGUUGGAACUUACUCUUACAAAGCAGGGAACUUCAUGCACAGUGGACUUCCAUGUGAAUGGAAACUAAGUAAGUUGCAAGUCAAGAGUAUAACCAUAUUCCACACAAUUAUGACAGUUAAAGUUUCCACCAAUCAUGAAAAUAAAUAUGCUGGAUCAGAAACAUUUAAAUGAAGAAUUAAUUUUAUGUCACUAUAAAUUUAUCUUUGCUUUUGCUUAUCACAUGGAUGUCAUAUUUGGAUCGAAUGACAAUCUAGAUAGUCCUAAAACCAUGUUCAUCACACUUAUUUGUAACAGGCACAUGUAUAGUUUUUUUAUGCAUGUAUCCUACAUAUGACAAUGAAUGAAAAUGAGAUGGAUAAUCCUGGAGAGGACUGACCUUGGAUAUUUCAAGUAUUGCUCAGGCAACAAAAAUGAUAGCCCAGGGGCCUGCAACAACUCCAGCUCUGCAACUGUAUCCAGUGAAGAUGCAAGGCCAACAGAUACUUUAUCUGGAUCCUGAUCCUUAAUAGAUUGAAUGAGUGCUUGCAAACCACCCUUUCCAUCAAUUAGAGAUUCAUACAGUGUGGACCCGAUUUCCUUCAAAUCUGCUGGUAUACUUGCUAAAAUAGGAUCUUUUUCAUCUUUGGCUAUCUGAGAUCAAGGGAAAUGCAAAAAUUAGAAAAUGGCUAUAUUAAGCUAUUACACGUUCGAUGUGGGAAACAAACCAGAGAAAACUAAAACAGCUAAUGACAUCAAAUGCAACAAGAAGUAGAUGAAGGUUGCAAAUACAACUAACAAGAAAACGUGGUUCCCACACUCAGUAGCAAACUUGUUUCACUAAAACAAAGCAUGGCAUGCGUGCAAAAAGCAAUUUGCAUAUGGAAAAAAAGAUUUGGCCCAUGUCUGAAAAUAUCAAGUGAGAAGUAAAUAUUAAUUCAAUCAAUACGUCAAUCCUAGAACAAUUAAGAACACAGAAGAAGAUUCAAGCAUAGUCAUACAAGAUCCACAAUACCCCAUCUGAUAAUUGUAAUAAAGCUAAUUAAAUUGCAAUGAGCUACAAGAUUUUGACCAGCAACGAUCUGAUGGUAUAAGCUUCUUAUCUGAUUAUGCUGAAAGAAUACAAUGCAUGCCUUUAGUGCUUUCUUCACAUUGCCCUCCAUGGUUCCAUAAGGCUUUCUCUGUGGAAUCCUGAGCAAGAAUGAAAUAUCUUCUAGAGAAGUCUGUAUAGCCUUCAUAUUUGCGUUUGCAGGGAUAGCCCUUCUCAAAGCAAGUUCCCCAGUUCUUGGGACCUUGGUGUCUGGAGAAUAAAGCACUGCUUCUGCUGCAGAAAUAGCCCAAAAGUCCCAACAAACCAAAGGUAGCGGUGAAGAGAUUUGCAUAAAGAUAAGGAUCACAGCAAUCAGACUCUCAAGUUUCUUCAUUCCAUAUUCAAAAGUUGAAGUGUAUAAAUCAGCAGGAAUAUCUUCCCUGUAGGCCAGAUCCUGCAUGGCUGAAAAUCCAUUUUAGAAAAAAUAUUGCAAAGGAAAUUAUGAUUUUGUUAGUUGUCUGAUCCAUGGUAUAUCAUAACCAGUAUGAAAGAAGACCAUAAAAAAAAAAAAAGGUAAACCAGUAAUCUCUUUUCAAUUCUCCUCUUCAUUAUAGGUGGAAGCAAAGUUCAAAAUAUAAAAAUUUUAUUGAACAUCCAAUAAAACAAGGUACAGCUUCUUAACAAUAAGUUGCAAGUUGAACUUCCCUCAGAACAUAUACAGCAGGAAAAUAUCACAUUUAUCUAAUAUUCAUCAAUUGUCACUCAGGGGAAAAAUUAUCACUCAUGGAAAAAAUUAUGGGACAUGAGUCUAGAGGUGAAAAAUAAACUUCUAGGAAUUAUAGCUCUUUCAUUUCCAAUCCACAACAUGAAUAUUUAAAUGGAAGACUUAAAAAAUACAUGACAUUUGAAUUAUGCUGAGCAUUCAAAUGAAAAAGAAAUGCUUUUCAAUUUUUUCACUAGCCAGGUAUUGGUGCACCAAAUUAGUGCCAACCCACAGUCCUGAAUUCAUUCAUGGAAGAGGCACGCAAUAAAAUAUGCUUUUCCAUAAGCACAAACAUUUCUUUACAAGGAGUGAAAUUAUCGAAGAUAUAAAGGGAACCUGAGUCUGUCCAAGAGCCAAUCCCACCACAAAAUGGAUUACCACAAACAUGGGGGCCUAAUUUGCUAUUGCUUUAUAUUUAUAGCGUAAAUCCCAUUGCUGACACAUUAUUAAAAUUUUCUGCACUAGCAUGCGCUUUCAGCCAAUGCCUAGCCUGGAAAUUUAAGAUAACAGGUUUCAAGAAACUUGAAUUCCUCUUCAACUAUCACAAGCUAACAAGACACCCCAUAACUCCUUGCAAUAUGAGGCAGAUACUUGGUUUUUAGAUUAUUCGCCCAAUGGCAAACCUCUUGUACAUUCUAUAUUCAUUUUGAUGCCAUAAAUGCACCAAAAUGUGGAUAAGUUAAAUUAGAACUCUGUACACGUAAUUGCCAAAAAAAUCCAUCAAUUAACAACCAAGAGCUACCGAAGACACCAAUUACAAAGCAGACACAGCAAUAGCAAAUCAAACACAAGAUGUGAAACACUAUCAAACCCAACUGUUGCAUAAUUUUUGGUAGGCUUGCAAUGAAACUUCGGGUGGCCUGGUCUUGGUGUGACACCGGCACGGGCUUGAUUAAGUCGAAAUGCGAAAUGGGUAGAGAGGAAACGGUGCUUUUGAAUUGAAGGAACAAUGGAUAGGCUAACAGAGAGCUUUUGGGAGUUGAUUAUGGAAGAGUAUAAAGAGAGAGCCAUGACUUGAAAUUGAUUGCUGGUAGUUUGCUUUGUGAGAGCCAGA
rnacentral:misc_RNA from 1 species